GAUGAAGAACGCAGCGAAAUGCGAUACUUGGUGUGAAUUGCAGAAUCCCGUGAACCAUCGAGUCUUUGAACGCAAGUUGCGCCUCAAGCCAUUAGGUUGAGGGCACGUCUGCCUGGGCGUCACAUAUCGUUGCCUGAUGCCAGUUUCCUCGUGAUGGGUGACUGUGCAGGGCAAAUGAUGGCUUCCCGUGAGCAUUGUUGCCUCAUGGUUGGUUGAAAAUUGAGUCCUUGGUAGGGAGCGCCGUGAUAGAUGGUGGUUGAGUGACGAACGAGACCCAAUCAUGUGAGACCCCUACCGAAUUUGGCCUUCAUGACCCACAUGCGUCUUUGGAACGCUCAUGACGAGACCUCAGGUCAGGCGGGGCUACCCGCUGAGUUUAAGCAUAUCAAUAAGCGGAGGA
rnacentral:misc_RNA from 1 species